CACGUAGGAGGCGAGCGUUGUCCGGAAUCAUUGGGCGUAAAGAGCGCGCAGGCGGCUUGGCAAGUCGGGUGUGAAAUCCCGGGGCUCAACCCCGGGACUGCAUUCGAUACUGACAGGCUAGAGGUAGGUAGGGGAGAUCGGAAUUCCUGGUGUAGCGGUGAAAUGCGCAGAUAUCAGGAGGAACACCGAUGGCGAAGGCAGGUCUCUGGGCCAUAACUGACGCUGAGAAGCGAAAGCAUGGGGAGCGAACAGG
rnacentral:rRNA from 1 species